rnacentral:rRNA from 1 species
CCUACGGGUGGCAGCAGUGGGGAAUAUUGGGCAAUGGAGGAAACUCUGACCCAGCAACGCCGCGUGAAUGAUGAAGGUCUUCGGAUUGUAAAGUUCUUUUCUAAGGGAAGAAGCAAGUGACGGUACCUUAGGAAUAAGCCUCGGCUAACUACGUGCCAGCAGCCGCGGUAAUACGUAGGAGGCAAGCGUUAUCCGGAAUGACUGGGCGUAAAGGGUGCGUAGGUGGUUUGAUAAGUUGGUAGCGAAACUCCGGGGCUCAACCUCGGCACUACUACCAAAACUGUCGUACUUGAGUGCAGGGGAGGCAAGUGGAAUUCCUAGUGUAGCGGUGGAAUGCGUAGAUAUUAGGAGGAACACCAGUGGCGAAGGCGAGUUGCUGGACUGUAACUGACACUGAGGCACGAAAGCGCGGGUAUCGAACAGGAUUAGAUACCCUAGUAGUC